UACGAAGGGUGCAAACGUUGCUCGGAAUUAUUGGGCGUAAAGCGCACGUAGGCGGCUUGGCAAGUCGGAUGUGAAAUCCCUCGGCUCAACCAAGGAAGUGCAUCCGAAACUGCCGAGCUUGAGUACUUAAGAGGAUCGCGGAAUUCCCGGUGUAGAGGUGAAAUUCGUAGAUAUCGGGAGGAAUACCAGUGGCGAAGGCGGCGACCUGGGCCAAUACUGACGCUGAGGUGCGAAAGCGUGGGGAGCAAACAGG
rnacentral:rRNA from 1 species